rnacentral:lncRNA from 1 species
AAAGAACCAGGAAGACUGUCUACAGUUUUCUCUCAUUUAAGACAAAUGCAGUCCUGAUGGCUGUGGCCUGAAGGGAAGAGCUGCCUUCCUGCCAGAAGAGGAGCAGAACUGUUAAUAUCUGGCAACAGGAGAGAGGCAAAGGGAUGGCUCUGAGACACAGUUUGCUGCUGGUGUACAAGGAGCUGACAGUCCUCAGUCUCUCCCUCCUGUCCCAGCCCUGUGAGUCAUCAGGAUUCACUCACUCUCCUUUGUCUCCGAACUUGGGUUGUAAGCUGCACAGUCUGCUGCCAUCCUGCUGACCCACUAAUCUGCCUUCCAACAAUGUAUGUCCUCUCCUGCCCUUUGUUCCAGGCACUCCCAUUCUUUCUCCACUCUCCACAAUCUCAACGUUUCUCCUGCAGCUCUGUGUAACAAGGGGGAGAACAGGAGGUAUUUGCUGGUGGGGGUAGGAGAAACCAUGGGAGCAUGAAUGUGCAGCAUAAAUCUGUCAGAAGCCUGGCUGAUCCCUAAAUUAUUUAUUUUUUCAGGUCCUUCUCAAGUUCAUCCUCUGGGUAAAUGUUUGUAUUCCAAGCAGUUUUUGGUAAAAUCAUGGUUAACUGCUGUGAAUGUUCCAAACUGCAUAUCCACAUCCUGCUCCCUGUGAGAAGCAGAGAAAUGCCACACAUUUUCAGUUGUCAUCUGAGAGGGAUCCUACACACUGGCUCUGGAGGUAAACUGCCUUUGGUCAGAACAGCUUGGGUCUGGACUCAAAUGGAUGCUUUACAGAGCAGAGGUAUCCAAAGACAGGUUUGUUGGUUUGACUCAUCUUUCAUUCAGCUCAUUGUGCUGUUCCAAAAGACUGCUGAUAAAUGGAAAUAUGCUUUUAAGUCUUAUAUAAUUUGUAUACUUAUAUGAUUUAUGGGUGAUCUAAAGCUCAAAACUGCCAGUGGAGCUACAGAAAUGCUUGAGAGGAACAGGCCUCCUUGUCACCAGAGGCAACCUAUACAAGAUUUGCACUCUGGUGCUAAAAGUAUGUCUAUUUCUGCAAAUAUUUUACUGAAACAAGCAACUUCAUAUACAUAAGUAGUCAACUUCAAACAAGAACACUAAUUGUACUGAUGAGGCUCAGCAGGACUGAAACAAGAAUUAUGAAAAGACUUUUCUUCCUGUUCUAUCAAAAAUGGUUUAAUUUCUUACAAUGGGUUGAAAAUUAAAAAGAAUGAAGGAAGGAGUUGUACAUAACUUCAGGGUAAUGUUUGUGCAACUGAGAAAUGCUGGUUGAUGUCAAAGCAUUUCUGUGUUACUAAAUAUCACAGCAUAGGUGUAACCUGCCGCAGGAAAAUGUUUGAAGAGAAAGAUUGAUAGCAGGAAAGGCACAAUGGACCGAUUGAGUACUGUGAGGGAAGGGCAUUUAUGACUUACCAGGAAGGAUUUACUUUUAACUUAGGCUAGAUUUUGAUGAAUAUUUCCUUUGAUGGAAAGUGCUGGAUAAAUCAACUUUGUAAGGAGGAAAAGAAGCUGGUUUUGAUCUUAGUUAUUUCUCCAGCCUAGCUCACUGUGUGACAGCGCAAGUUAAAAUGCAUAACAAAAAGCAGUGGCAAGAAGGGCAGGUGAAAGUGAAGUUAGGGCUUAUCAAAGUGUGUCUGAGCUGGCCCCCCAUGGAGGAAAGCCUCUUUAGAGAGACAUGUACCAACAGAGGCAUAGGCAGGCAGAAUGGGUGCAUUGAGAGCCCUUUGAGCAAACCCAGACCGUGCUUGGUAGGAGGGAGAGGCAGGGAGGAAACCUAAACAGAGAAAUAAAUGCUUAAUGAAGUUUCUGCUGUUAGCA